GAUUUUACAUGUCUAGGAGUCAACUGACAACAAAAGAGCUGCCUGUCUUUACAGGAGAAACAUCACCCUUUGGAUAUGUCUGUUUCUAUGGAUUGACUUAAUGGUGACCAACUUGGACAGCUGAACUUUUCCAUAGCUAAAUUUUAUAGAGGUUUCUUCCUUUUACCAUGAGAAUGGUCAAUAAAAUGGGUGCAAAGCCAGCUCACAAAUGACAUUUUAGAUGCUGAUGGCAGGAGAGGCAAAGGAGAGAGAAUUUUCCAAACCUGAAAAUAACCCUUGUCUGCAAAGUCACAGAUCAUAACUGAAUCUAACUAACUUUUAUCUGACAUCAUGAAGACUGAGGCUGUUCUAGGCAUGUUCACUCUGUUGUUGGGAGAAAGGGGUAUCCUGGACACCGAGGGCCACUGUGAAGAGAAGUAAUCUUGAACCAUGGCAUUUGAUAAACAGUAUUUAUAUCAUCCCCCAAAGAAAUUUGUCAUGAAGUAUCUAAUAUCUGCUGGAAAGCCAACAGUGAAUCCACAAAAAAUACAGAGGUGUCCUAGCAAGUGCUUGCUGUUCAAUGUUUCUCCAUAUCUGUAAGAUGCAAUUCUCUACAGAACACCUGGAGAAGAAUGCUGUAAAAGUAAAUCAUUGGAGACAAGGUGGUCAUGAACCUGAUUGUCACUUGGAGUGGGAGGCUUCGCUACCCCAUCCCCUAUCUCACCGUCCAUCUACUCAAGAGCUGUGGGAAGAGAGGUUACCUGUGAAGACUGAGGCAAAAAAAAAGAGGCAAGGAAGGCGACUGGAGAUGUCUAAUCACUGUUCAAGGCAAGAAAAAAAAUACUAUGGAAACUUAUCCUGAAAGUCUAUAGGGGCAAUACCUCUUAUUUGGAUCCCAUGGAAACUUAAUGUAAUCUAAAGGUCAUCAAGUUAAUAUUCAUGAUCAUGAAGGUACAUAAAACAGCUGAGUACUCACAGCUUGGGCCACUUUUCAUUUGGGAAAUGCUAUUUCUUUCUAAAUAAAAUUAAAGCAUCAGAAUUCUUCAGUAAUUAACUGCCCUAAAAUGAACACAUUUUUAUUUUCUUGUUUAUAUUAGAAUUAUAGAAUUAUAGAACAAAAGAUGACCUGGUCCAACCUUUGAUGGGAAAGGGAACCUAGAUGACAUUAUCUAGCACCCUAUCCAAUCGCAUCUUGCAAACCUUCAGUGAUGUUACUGGGAAGGGUAUUCCAGUGAAUGACUGUUCUUGCUGUAAAAAAAAUCUUUUCUAUCAAGAGGGAAGUUCUUGAUUCUUCACCUUGAAAUGGGAAGAAAUUAUUAAAAUUUUUCACUUUAUGAAAGUCUCUAAUCAUUUAUAUGGAGAGUUAUUGAAAUCUGAGUCCUUUGGAAGCUUUGCAAGACUUUACAAGAAAGAAAUUAGGGUAAUGCUUCUGCAAUGCAGCAUGCUGCUUUUGAUCUCAGCUCCACAUUGUUUUGCCUUGCUAACAAGGGGACUGGUAUCACUGGAUGAAAAAUAAUAGUCUGAAGACUUGAUUCUUAGGCAGUCACCUGUUUAUGACAAUAGGCUUUAUUACCUCUACUCUUGAAGAGCAAGAGUGAGCCAGGAUAAGCUGCCCAUUAAGAUGUCGUGAAAAGCCCAUGGACAAGGCCCUGACCAAGAUGAGACUGCCAAGCAUGUUACUGGAGAAAAAUCAAUACAUUAAAUUCUACCAAAUAUUUAAGCACUCCUUCUAGGAAAUUGAAUAAGAACAAAUCAUUUAGUGUGAUAAAUUUAGCAGCAGUAAGAUGGCUGGUUCAGAUACUUGGAGGAAAAAGAGAACCACAGGAAAACUGCUCACGAUAGGGAGCAGUACCAAUCAUACAAAAGUUAAAAUCAUACAGAUGCAUGGACAACAGGAUAUAGAAAGAAGGAAGGAAAAAAUUUUGCCAUCAACUAAACAAUGUGGAAGUGUAUUUAUAUUUUAUGACAAAAAUGUGUGCCUUCUAAAAACGAAGCUGAAGCAGUUUCAGGCAGGCUGUGGGACUGGCGCAAGAGUUUGUGUAACUAUGAAGUAAAUGUUGACUUAACAUCAAUAGGAACUGAACAAGACUCAGAGUGGAUUUGUUCCAGCCCUAGACUUAUCAAAUGAGGGCCAGGAAUUUGCUUGGGAAAAUCCCUGUCAGGAAAAGUCACACAUUUACAAAAAAAUCAAGGGAGAUGCUGCCAUUAUUGCAAUUCACAAGCUUCACACGUAUCAUAAUGCUGUCAGGGCGUUACUUGCUGAAAAGAGACCUUGAGAAUAUGUUCUAUGUCAACCUGAUCUGCCAAAGACAUUACCUGAGGAGGAAGAAGGAAGUUUUAGAAUGAUGCCAAGUACAAGAGAUCAGACAUUCACCUUAAGAAGUUGAACAGAAAAUACUGAGAAUAUGAAAUAGAACUACCCUGUGACUUCACAGGCUUCAAUAGAUCAUUUGAUCAUUCACAGCAAAGAAUACUAUAGACUGUGACGAAGACACUCAACAUUAGCAAAAGAACAGUGAUAACCAUUGAAAUCCUUUAUUAGAGUGCAGGAAAUAAAGUCCUUAAAGGCAACACACUGAGUAAGUAGUUCCAUAUAACAGUUGGUAUAAGAAAGUGAUGUCUCCUAUUGCCACAUCUCUUCAAUAGUUUCCUUGUCAAAGGACUCUGAAAACUUUGAAGGAGUGCUAUCAGUUAGAGGUAGUAAUAAUACAGGUAGUCUAUCCUUUGAAGAUGAUGUAGAUUCGAUAGGAAUGGAAAAGCAAUGACAUGGAAAAGCAGUGACAAAGCUGGGCAGCACAGCAAUGAUAUAUGGUAUGGAGAUCAGGACAAAAAAAUAGCAGUGUAAUGACAAUGAAGAUUACUCACUCUGAAAAAGAAAUAAAUAUCAAAAGCAAGAAAGUUGAAUGGAGGGGCUUAUUCAAGUACCUUGGUACUACUACCAUGAAAGACAGGAAACUUGAAACAGAAAUCCAAAGAAUUGCCCUCAUGCUAGCAGUGCUCACAGUCCAAAAUACAACCUGGAAAGACAAGAACAACUUUAGUAGAUCCAAGAGAAGAAAAAAAAAGGAACUUAGAAAUAUUGUGUUCUCAAGAGCAUGAACAGUGUGAAACAGGUGAAACUCAAACAGCAGUAACAGAAUGAAGAAUUCAAGCCUUUGAAUUCAGAUGUCUCUGCAGAAUUCAAUAGAUACCAUGUACAGUGCACAGAACUAACAGCUCUAUUACAGGAAAGCAGGAUCUGCAGUAAUUGGAUCCCAUGAGCCUCUGCUAGCAGCAGUGUUAAGAGAGAAGCUGGAAAGGUUUGCAGUGUGACUAAAACAAAAGUCCUAGCAAACAUAAAUUUGUUGAGAAAAAGAAUGAAAAGAGGAAGAGCUGUUUGUGGACAACCUGGUAAAAAACAUCACCAGAAGGUGGGCAGGAAAAUCUCUAGCAGAACGUCUUCAAGCAGUUAAAACCACCUGAAAUGAAAGAUUAUGAUCAUCACCUUACUCUGACCAAGCCAGCCAGAUGAGGGGAAAGGGAUUAUUGCAGUACAAAAAUCUGUUAUAAACUCAAUCAAUACAGAAUUUCUAGGAAGCCACAUCACUGUCACUACAUUUUAUAAAUAGACAAGAUGUAAUUUUUUGUUCUUUACUGACUUACUUCCUUCCUAUAUUUGUUCAAGUGAUAUUUAAUCAUUUGCAGACCUGCUCUUCCUUCCCAAAGUAAAAGGGAAAAUAUUUGCUCAAUACAUUUCUGUUAGUGGAUUAAGGACAAAUCUGGCAGCUCAAGAGAGACAAAACUGUCACAACUUCAUGUCCCCAGGUUCAUCAGUAGUGAGACUGAGCAUAUAAUCCCUAUGCACACCAGGAACAGGCACAAACAUGUCUACACCACAUUUAAAUCUACAGUGGUCUGCACAGAUCAAUACAGAGACACAGAGCACUUACACACAGACAACACAGAAAGCAAUGGCCUCAUUCUGCUUCCCUCUCUGCUGAGCAGGAAGAAGAUCUGUUCCUGAGAGUAUUUAUGUGUGCAUAAGCCCCCUCCACUGCUGGGUUUACACUCCCAGUCUGCCCAGUAGCUGGCACCUGGACACACAAACUCCUCAGGCCACAGACAUGCUCUAGCUGCUGGUACAAAUGCCCUCACAGAUGCACACACACAAAAAGAACCAUUUGAAACUCCCCUGAUCCACAAUAACCACCCCACAACCCAUCCCUAUCUUUCUCAUAGAGACACCCAAGUGCCUAGAUCACCACACUGACUUGGUGGCUUGCCUGGUUUGAUCUUUGCUGGCACUCACAAACUCAAUUUUCACUGGCUGGCACUCACACACACACUAGCUCUACUGGUUGGCACCAUGGACAUCUGUGUCCCUGAGACCUGAGGUCCCACUCCAGUUUCUGGCACUGCCAUUCACCCACUGGGCUCUUGGCAGCAGCUUCCACCUCCAACCUGCGGUCUGCCUGCAAUCACAGUCCCAGAUGCACAGAGGCACAUGAGGGUUCCUCACCUAGGAAAGAGUGGAAAGGAACUUAGUAACAAAACAGGACAGUCUGUGCAGAUCAGGUGCAAGGCAUGGACAAACAGGUUUACCAAACAGCAAAUUAUUUACAUGCAACAACCCCUACUUCCUUCUUUAUUUUCCCACUGUUUUUCCUCCUCAAGUGACCUUGAUUCCUCUCUUUUUCCACCUUUAAUUCUGCCCUUAAACUUUCUGUAAUAAAUCUUGUGCACUCCCCAACUGUUCUUCCCCUGCCCCGCAUAACAUGUCCCUUGCCUAUGGCCAAUACCCUUUCAGUCCAAAAGUUGCUCUGAUGUUUACCUCUGGUGAUAGGUUUCAUAUCUGGCCAAUGAGACUGCAACUGUCCUGUAACAGCCUUGGGAAGGGCCUUGACAGUGUGUUAUUUCCUCUGAGACCUCAAUUUGGGUUCCCUCCUCCCCUUGUUCUCCUGUCUGGGUCUUUGGAGAUAGUCCCUUGAUGGCUUGAUGGAUUUUGAGAUGUUUCUGGGAGAAGCCAGGCCAAGGCAUUAUUUGGGCUCCCCCACUCCUCUCUGUGCUCCUUUUUGGGCAUACAGACCAGAUUUAUUGCACAGUUAUAGUUGGCUACAGUCAUAUGACAUUACCUUUUCUUCUGCUGAGUGAGGUAAGAGGCUGUACUUGUUGCUUCCACCCUUUAUUUCAAUUUAAUUUUAACUUUUGCUCUACCACCAUCUUCUGUGUAAGCACCCCAGAGCAGGUUGUUUCUCAGCCUGUUGGAGGCUGACAUGGAUUGAGUUUGUGUUUUUUCAUGCCCUUUCUACUGUAGGUGUAUAUCUAGCUGUAGUCUGUCACUGCUGUAUCCCUUUGCUAUGUGCUCCUUUUGUACCAGGAGAGGUAAUAUGAACAUCUUUUGUCAGUGCAAAACCUGUGAUGUUAACAGAAUCCAGAAGACACUGGAACUGUGAAAGCAUGUCAUUCAGAUCAUUAGACAGAAAUGCACCCCCUCUGAUGCUCCUGAGCUCCUCAAACUCAGCAACACCCUCCUCACUGUACUUCUGUGGCUGAAUUUUAGCUGGAUUCAAUGUGCUGUCAUGAAAACUCUUGGAUAGCAGGAGCCAUUGCUUAUGCAAUCUCUGUUCCUAACUCACCAUAUCGAUAUUCAUAUUCAGCUGGGUCCUGCAAUAAACCCAAUGCACUUAAAAAAUAUUUAAUUAGCACACCAACACAAGGAAUAUGUAUUUGAAAUUCGUGCAGAGUCUCUCUACCUGUGGUGCUUCAUUUGAAAUUUGAAUGCUUUCAUCUUUCUACUAUGCUGCACCAUCCACACAGAAGUCUUGGGGGAGUCCUCCCAAACCCCCUCCUAAUUUACUUUAAAUUCAUUAGUCCUUUAAAAGACUAUCUGGAAUGUUAAUCUCACAAAAUAUUUUUUUUUCUUGAUUCUUUGGUGAUUCCUACUGGGCAAAGAAAAUACAAAGGUUAACUAAUUCUCAACAAAAGGUUAUUGUGAGUAACCUAAACGUGGAAUAUUAUCAAAUAAGAAAAAGAAAAUAAAGAAAUCUGAAUAUUUUGUUUGA